GGGUGCGAUCAUACCAGCACCAAUGCAUCGGAUCCCAUCAGAACUCCAUAGUUAAGCGUGCUUGGGAGAGACUAGUACUUGGAUGGGUGACCUCCUGGGAAGUCCUCGUGUUGCACCCC
rfam:Arabis alpina cultivar Pajares scaff_48548_1_contig_0, whole genome shotgun sequence.